rnacentral:rRNA from 1 species
AAGAGACAGCAGUAGCCGCGGUAAAACGAAGGGGGCUAGCGUUGUUCGGAAUUACUGGGCGUAAAGCGCACGUAGGCGGACAUUUAAGUCAGGGGUGAAAUCCCGGGGCUCAACCCCGGAACUGCCUUUGAUACUGGGUGUCUAGAGUAUGGAAGAGGUGAGUGGAAUUCCGAGUGUAGAGGUGAAAUUCGUAGAUAUUCGGAGGAACACCAGUGGCGAAGGCGGCUCACUGGUCCAUUACUGACGCUGAGGUGCGAAAGCGUGGGGAGCAAACAGGAUUAGAGACCCCUGUAGUCCCUGUCUCUUAUAA